GAUGAACGCUGGCGGCGUGCCUAAUACAUGCAAGUCGAGCGAACAGAUAAGGAGCUUGCUCCUUUGACGUUAGCGGCGGACGGGUGAGUAACACGUGGGUAACCUACCUAUAAGACUGGAAUAACUCCGGGAAACCGGGGCUAAUGCCGGAUAACAUUUAGAACCGCAUGGUUCUAAAGUGAAAGAUGGUUUUGCUAUCACUUAUAGAUGGACCCGCGCCGUAUUAGCUAGUUGGUAAGGUAACGGCUUACCAAGGCAACGAUACGUAGCCGACCUGAGAGGGUGAUCGGCCACACUGGAACUGAGACACGGUCCAGACUCCUACGGGAGGCAGCAGUAGGGAAUCGUCCGCAAUGGGCGAAAGCCUGACGGAGCAACGCCGCGUGAGUGAUGAAGGUCUUCGGAUCGUAAAACUCUGUUAUUAGGGAAGAACAAAUGUGUAAGUAACUGUGCACGUCUUGACGGUACCUAAUCAGAAAGCCACGGCUAACUACG
rnacentral:rRNA from 1 species